rnacentral:rRNA from 1 species
ACGCUGGCGGCAGGCCUAACACAUGCAAGUCGAGCGGCAGCACGGGUACUUGUACCUGGUGGCGAGCGGCGGACGGGUGAGUAAUGCCUAGGAAUCUGCCUGGUAGUGGGGGAUAACGCUCGGAAACGGACGCUAAUACCGCAUACGUCCUACGGGAGAAAGCAGGGGACCUUCGGGCCUUGCGCUAUCAGAUGAGCCUAGGUCGGAUUAGCUAGUUGGUGGGGUAAUGGCUCACCAAGGCGACGAUCCGUAACUGGUCUGAGAGGAUGAUCAGUCACACUGGAACUGAGACACGGUCCAGACUCCUACGGGAGGCAGCAGUGGGGAAUAUUGGACAAUGGGCGAAAGCCUGAUCCAGCCAUGCCGCGUGUGUGAAGAAGGUCUUCGGAUUGUAAAGCACUUUAAGUUGGGAGGAAGGGCAGUUACCUAAUACGUAUCUGUUUUGACGUUACCGACAGAAUAAGCACCGGCUAACUCUGUGCCAGCAGCCGCGGUAAUACAGAGGGUGCAAGCGUUAAUCGGAAUUACUGGGCGUAAAGCGCGCGUAGGUGGUUUGUUAAGUUGAAUGUGAAAUCCCCGGGCUCAACCUGGGAACUGCAUGCAAAACUGGCAAGCUAGAGUAUGGUAGAGGGUGGUGGAAUUUCCUGUGUAGCGGUGAAAUGCGUAGAUAUAGGAAGGAACACCAGUGGCGAAGGCGACCACCUGGAACUGAUACUGACACUGAGGUGCGAAAGCGUGGGGAGCAAACAG